UGAGUGGCUAUCCCUCACUGAUUCGUUUAGGUGCUCUGAUACGUAACGGGAUGGGAUCUUUUGUGGCUAUUUUCUAUUCCUUACGUAUUUGAUUUAAGAUGUUAAUUGAUUAAGUUGUUUAACUGAAUUUUAUGAGAUGUUUUGAUGAGGCCUACGUGCCAACACUUAUUUAUGUUGAUGAAUUAAAUCCGCUGCGAAGUUUUGAAUUAAUAUGUUGAAGGAU
rnacentral:lncRNA from 1 species